rnacentral:ncRNA from 1 species
AAAGUUUUAUUCUUACUUAAUAAUUUAUUGGUUGAAUAUUUUACAUGUAAAUUUUUGUGAGAACUAAUGAUAAUCUAAAGGAUUAUGGUUAUUUUAUUCGCAGUAUUUGGUUUUAGUAAUUAAAGUAAUUUAGAAUUAGUAAUUUGAAUUAUGAUCGACAAAAGUCGUGCCAGCAGUCGCGGUUAUACGUAGGAUUUAAAUAAAUGUUAUUAGUAUUGAAGUUAAUUUUGUUUUAAAUUUUUAAUUGAUUUUAGAAGGUAGAAUUUUAAAAUUGAAUAUAAUUUGUUUUGAUAAUGAAGCUUUGAAAUUUAAAAUUUAAACUAGGAUUAGAUACCCUAUUAUUUUUAAAUGUGAAAUAAUAUAUACUAGAGUAGUAAUAGUUAAGUUCUUGAAACUUAAAGAAUUUGGCGGUGUUUUAGUCUUUUCAGAGGAAUCUGUCCUGUAAUUGAUAAUACACAUUAUAUUAGAUUUAAUUUUGUAAUGUCAGCUUGUAUACCGCCGUCGUAAGAUUAUCUUUUAAGAGAAAAAAUUUUCUAGAAUUUUAAUUAAAAUUUAUGUCAGGUCAAGGUGCAGUUUAUGAUUAAGUAGUAGAUGGAUUACAAUAAGAUGAAUAUUUAAACGGAUGUUAUAUUGAAAUUAGUAAUUAAAGGUGGAUUUGAAAGUAAUAUUGUUAGAUUAUGAUAAUAUGAUUAUAGCUCUAAAACAUGUACACAUCGCCCGUCGCUCUCAUUAAUUAAGGUGAGAUAAGUCGUAACAUAGUAGAUGUACUGGAAAGUGUAUCUAGAAUGU